GCUGGGCAUGGAGGUGCACACCUGUAAUCCUAGUUACCGAGGAGGCUGAGGCAAGAGGAUUGCAAGUUGGAGGCAGCCUCAAUAUCUUAGCAAGACCCUGUCUCAA
rnacentral:sRNA from 1 species